AUACCUUUCUCGGCCUUUUGGCUAAGAUCAAGUGUAGUAUCUGUUCUUAUCAGUUUAAUAUCUGAUACGUGGGUCAUCGACUCACAUGAUAUUAAAUUAAUUUUUUUCAGGGGAAAGACCUGUUUGGGCAGCUUGCUGCCUUGGCCUUUGUGUGUCGCCCAAACUUUGCACUAUUGCUUGGGCCAGGCACUCCCCCA